AGGGCCGCGGUAUUUUGACCGUGCGAAGGUAGCAUAAUCAAUAGCCUUUUAAUUUGGGGCUGGAAUGAAUGGUUGGAUGAGGUAUAAGCUGUCUUUAUUUUAAAAUAUAAUUUAACUUUUAAGUGAAAAGGCUUAAAUUGGAUGGGGGGACGAUAAGACCCUAUAAAACUUUAUAUAAAUAAGUUUAGUUUAAAAAUUUAGUGUAACUUUGAUUGUGUGUGAUUAUAUUUUGUUGGGGAGACAGGAAUAUAAUUAUUAACUGUUCAUGGAGUUUAAUAUAUAUAAGUAGAUUAUGAUCCUUUUAUAUGGAUUAGAAGAAUAAGUUACUUUAGGGAUAACAGUGUGAUUUCUUUUGAGAGUUCUUAUCGACAGAGUUAGUUGCAACCUCGAUGUUGAAUUAAAGUUUUAGGAAGGUGAAGCAGCUUUUUUCGUGGGUCUGUUCGACCCUUAAAA
rnacentral:rRNA from 1 species